GUGUUCACUUCAGCAGCACAUAUACUAAAAUUGGAAUGAUACAGAGAAGAUUAGGAUGGCCCUUGCCCAAAGAUGACAUACAGGUUUGUGAAGCACUCCAUGUUCAA
rfam:Otolemur garnettii contig012576, whole genome shotgun sequence.